AGUUGUACCCAUAGAAUGGCAACAGGAACAAAAGGAGAGUGGGGAGUGCAAGCAGAGCUGAGCCAUCACUGCAGCAUCCAACAGAGCAGUGUGAUCACAGCCCUCUUGAGAAGCAUCACUUCCACCUGAAACUUCCUCUGAGAGUGCUCACAAGAGUGGGAGCUUUGAUCCCCUCCCUCCCCUUGCUCGUUAAUCGCCCUCAGUUGCAAUACUGAACUUCUGAAAUUCAACAGCUACUAAAACAUAAGGCAUUGAGGGCUUGGAAAGUCUCGCAGAGCUGGAGGUUUUGCAGAAUGUUUUGGCUUCUCCAAGUUCAGAGCUACAGUGCAAGUUCAGGAGUUCUCAGUUAAAGCUGCUGGUUUGUGUUCAAGGGUGGUUCAGGUUUGGAAUGAGCAAUAUCUCUCCCCUGUACACAGCACAGGACCAAACCAUUACCCCCCUUCCCUCCCAGUAGCAUCCUUAUGCUACCAGCCCACACCUCUAUGCUGCACAGCCUCUCUCCUUCCUGAGCUCAGGGGGGAUCCACUGCAAAUUAAUAGUGAUUGAACUAUGCUAAUGGCAGUCCCACUGUUUAUCCCCUGCUGAUGUUUGCAAGGGCAUUCAGCUGGUGUCCCUCUUAGCAGUAUAAAUUUCACCUGUGCUGAAGGAGCUGAGGGCACUGCAGCAGUAAAUCUCUAGUGCUUGGGGCUCUGUAAGACCAGGCUCAGCCCCGUGUAAUGCCAAGGAGGAGAUGAUUUCCAGGCUGGGACAGAGAAGAAUUGGCCCUAACGUACACAACCACUGGCUUGGAGCUCUGUUAGCCCAUGCAUGUGAAGCAAGCCAAGCAGGAACUGCAGGAACCACCACCUCCAUCCCUGUCUCAGUGCAGCCCCGGGUGCUUUUGGCCCAGCGCUCACUGUGUGCAAUGGGAGCAGCGUUGCUCAGCUCAGCCUCUGCAGUCCUCAGAGUGCUCCAUACUGCCCUAUGCCUGGUACUUUUAGAACACUGCUCCUGGUAUGUGCUACGUAUGGAGCUAGAGCUCUGCCUCUCACCUUCACUGUACUUUCUGGAUUGAUGUGCUGCUUGCUGUAGUCCUUUAAAUGAAUUAGUUGGUGGGGAGUAAUGAGAUAAUUUGCGAUGUACGGGGUGGUGGCAGCACCUGUGACAAACGCAUCACCCCGGGGCUGGGAACAGGAGGGGCUGAGCAUUGCUUCCCGAACACGCUGCAGCUCCCGGCUCGCUGUCGGACCGUUACCAUGGCAAACAGCCUCCCUCUCCCCUUCUCCCAGCCCUCCGGCUGUACCAUCAGCACAUCGGUAUUUCUGCACGAGCACGCGGGAAGGGUGCGAGGAGACGUUGCAGGUGCUGCCUUUGGCCGGGUCCCAGAGCCGGGCCGGGCCGCGGGGACCGCACGCCCUCCAGAGCCCGGGUCGGGUUCGGCAGCGCCUUUGUGCUCCCGGCCGCGGUGAGACAAAGGGCUCCGGGCUGCGGCGGAGAGCAGCGCCCGCAGCUGCCGCUCUGUGCCGUCCUCGCCUGCAGGGGCAG